rnacentral:tRNA from 1 species
AAAGAAGUAAAAUUUACAUUUAGUUUCGACCUAAAAAUAAGGCAUAACCCUCAUGUUUU